UACGUAGGGUCCGAGCGUUGUCCGGAAUUAUUGGGCGUAAAGGGCUCGUAGGCGGUUUGUCACGUCGGGAGUGAAAUCUUACAGCUUAACUGUGAACUUGCUUUCGAUACGGGCAGACUUGGAGGCAUUCAGGGGAGAACGGAAUUCCUGGUGUAGCGGUGAAAUGCGCAGAUAUCAGGAAGAACACCGAUGGCGAAGGCAGGUCUCUGGGCAUUAACUGACGUGAGGAGCGAAAGCAUGGGGAGCGAACAGG
rnacentral:rRNA from 1 species